rnacentral:rRNA from 1 species
UACAGAGGUGGCAAGCGUUGUUCGGAAUUACUGGGCGUAAAGGGCGCGUAGGCGGCCCGUCAAGUCCCGUGUGAAAGCCCCCGGCUCAACCGGGGAACGGCGCGGGAAACUAGCAGGCUUGAGUUCGGGAGAGGGAAGCGGAAUUCCGGGUGUAGUGGUGAAAUGCGUAGAGAUGUGGAGGAAUACCGAUGGCGAAGGCAACCCCCUGGGACGAUACUGACGCUGAGGCACGAAAGCGUGGGGAGCAAACAGG